rnacentral:rRNA from 1 species
UUGAACGCUGGCGGCAUGCCUUACACAUGCAAGUCGAGCGGCAGCGCGGGGGCAACCCUGGCGGCGAGCGGCGAACGGGUGAGUAAUAUAUCGGAACGUGUCCAGUUGUGGGGGAUAACUAGUCGAAAGAUUGACUAAUACCGCAUACGACCUACGGAUGAAAGCGGGGGACCGCAAGGCCUCGCGCUAUUGGAGCGGCCGAUGUCGGAUUAGCUAGUUGGCGGGGUAACGGCCCACCAAGGCGACGAUCCGUAGCUGGUCUGAGAGGACGACCAGCCACACUGGAACUGAGACACGGUCCAGACUCCUACGGGAGGCAGCAGUGGGGAAUUUUGGACAAUGGGGGCAAGCCUGAUCCAGCCAUGCCGCGUGAGUGAAGAAGGCCUUCGGGUUGUAAAGCUCUUUCAGCGGGGACGAAACGGUCGGUGACAACACCGCGGGCUAAUGACGGUACUCGCAGAAGAAGCACCGGCUAACUACGU